AACGAACGCUGGCGGCGUGCUUAACACAUGCAAGUCGAGCGAUGAAACACCUUCGGGUGCGGAUUAGCGGCGAACGGGUGAGGAACACGUGAGGAAUCUGCCUUCCACUCUGGGAUAACUCCGGGAAACCGGGGCUAAUACCGGAUACUUUCAACUGGCGGCAUCGCCGGUUGAAGAAAGUUUUUCGGUGGAAGAUGACCUCGCGGCCUAUCAGCUUGUUGGUGAGGUAAAGGCUCACCAAGGGGACGACGGGUAGCCGGCCUGGGAGGGCGAGCGGCCACACUGGGACUGAGACACGGCCCAGACUCCUACGGGAGGCAGCAGUGGGGAAUAUUGGGCAAUGGAGGAAACUCUGACCCAGCGACGCCGCGUGAGGGAUGAAGGCCUUCGGGUUGUAAACCUCUUUCAGCAGGGAAUAAGCGAAAGUGAAGGUACCUGCAGAAGAAGCACCGGCUAACUAUGUGCCAGCCGCCGCGGUAAUAC
rnacentral:rRNA from 1 species